rnacentral:lncRNA from 1 species
UCAGGGACUUAGGGUACAAUUUAGCAAAAUUUUGUGGUAGGGAGGGUUUGAGUGUUAGGUCAAAAUCAAGAACACGGCGUCGGAGGUUCGCUAGCUGUUCGCCCUGCCACCGCUCGAGCAAGAAGAAGCAGAAUGAACGUCGCUCGCUCUUCGCUGAGCGACAGUGUUAUAUGGAAAAUGGUAUUUUCGAUUUCUGAAAAGUUUGACACGACCUAGGACUCCAAAUUAUCCCCAACUAUAAAUACAAAGGCCGUGAACGAAAAUAAUGGGGUUGCUUCAUUAUGCUUUCAUAGAAGAACACAUUCAUAUCAUUGUGAAGAGAUCCAAAAACACAAUCUACUGGAGAAUUCAUCAAUCCAAUUCUUGUGAUCCGGCAACCGACCGUGUGGGGGAAAACUUCAAAGUUUGUGAAGACAAAACACAUGAAUUUCUUCAUCUGUUGAGGAAGGGACUCUCUCAUUGGGAGAUUGAGAGAGGUGGACGAUAAGCGCAGGAACUGGACAAGAACGGGGGUUCUUGGUAUUCCACUUGGUGAUACAAUCAGCUAGAGACCGGAGGCUGUAUUGGACAGCAAAUUGGGCUGCAGGAGGUAGAUCGGGAAGUUAGCAAAAGACUAGCAGUAUCCACAGCAGUAGAUCGUGAGACUGGAACAGCGGGUCUGACUUAGUACGAAGUUUGGCAUAACUUGUACUUACUGGAUUGGUAUAGUAAAAACUACUGGCUUGGUCUUAGAGUUUUACCCACGUUGGGGUUUCUCCGUCAUCAUAUCAUGAGUUGUGUUUUGCAUUGUUUUAUUUACUUCACGCAAAUUAGCAGUUCAAUAUAGGAAUUAACUGGACUGUAUGUUUAAUCAUCUAGACAAUUAAUUAAAGUGACGUGUUGCUCUGAUGAAUCAAUUCCGCAAUGAGGUCGAAUAAUAAAUUGAUUGGAAAGUAAAUUUGGUAAUAUUUAAAACUUGAAUUUGACGUAACAUAACGUUCUCCGUGAAUUUUCAAAUGGUUGUAGAACGAUCCCUAAACUUUCAGAGCUGAUUCUGGGACUUCAAUGUUGUCUGGCCUGCAAAUGUAGAUUGUUGGAUUGCUGAAGUUGCCAUUGUUUUUGCUUGUGAGUUUCUUACUUUGUAGCCGUAUUUUGCUUUAUGAUUAGUUGAGAUGGUAAAGGGGAGAG